UGGGGAAUUUUGGACAAUGGGCGAAAGCCUGAUCCAGCAAUGCCGCGUGUGUGAAGAAGGCCUUCGGGUUGUAAAGCACUUUUGUCCGGAAAGAAAUCCUUGGCUCUAAUACAGUCGGGGGAUGACGGUACCGGAAGAAUAAGCACCGGCUAACUACGUGCCAGCAGCCGCGGUAAUACGUAGGGUGCAAGCGUUAAUCGGAAUUACUGGGCGUAAGCGUGCGCAGGCGGUUUGCUAAGACCGAUGUGAAAUCCCCGGGCUCAACCUGGGAACUGCAUUGGUGACUGGCAGGCUAGAGUAUGGCAGAGGGGGGUUAGAAUUCCACGUGUAGCAGUGAAAUGCGUAGAGAUGUGGAGGAAUACCGAUGGCGAAGGCAGCCCCCUGGGCCAAUACUGACGCUCAUGCACGAAAGCGUGGGGAGCAAACAGGAUUAGAUACCCCUGGUAGUCCACGCCCUAAACGAUGUCAACUAGUUGUUGGGGACUUCAUUUUCCUUAGUAACGUAGCUAACGCGUGAAG
rnacentral:rRNA from 1 species